rnacentral:rRNA from 1 species
UACAGAGGGUGCAAGCGUUAAUCGGAAUUACUGGGCGUAAAGCGCACGCAGGUGGCUGAGUCAGUCGAUUGUGAAAGCCCUGGGCUUAACCUGGGAAUUGCAGUCGAUACUACUCAGCUAGAGUAUGGGAGAGGGUAGUGGAAUUCCCGGUGUAGCGGUGAAAUGCGUAGAUAUCAGGAAGAACACCGGUGGCGAAGGCGGCUCUCUGGGCUACUGACGUGCUGAGGAGCGAAAGCGUGGGAGCGAACAGG